rnacentral:rRNA from 2 species
CAAAGAGAAGCGACCUCGCGAGAGCAAGCGGACCUCAUAAAGUAUGUCGUAGUCCGGAUUGGAGUCUGCAACUCGACUCCAUGAAGUCGGAAUCGCUAGUAAUCGUAGAUCAGAAUGCUACGGUGAAUACGUUCCCGGGCCUUGUACACACCGCCCGUCACACCAUGGGAGUGGGUUGCAAAAGAAGUAGGUAGCUUAACCUUCGGGAGGGCGCUUACCACUUUGUGAUUCAUGACUGGGGUGAAGUCGUAACAAGGUAACCGUAGGGGAACCUGCGGUUGGAUCACCUCCUUA